AUAUCAGUUGUGCCAGUGCUAGGAUUACGUGUGGCGUAAGAGUUGUGGAUAUUUGUUAAGUUUGUGUUUAGAAGAGGGAAGAAGAUUCGUAAGAAGUAUCACAAAGGAAGGGGCAGAGGCAGAAGCUCCGGGACGACUCCAGACCGAGCAUCGUCUCAGCAGUCAAACUGGCACCCAGCACAGUAAUACUGAGCCUGAUGAAGAGCCUUACAGCCACUGUAGGGAGCGGAGUCUUAUCACAGAGCUGAUGGCCGCAGUUUAACUUCCGGGUGCAACUCCUUCAUACAGAAACUCCAUUCUCGAUCGUAACUCCACGUUAGAUGCGGACUGACUCGUCCUCGGGGCGGCCUGCGGACAUGGAGGGUAGCUGCGAACGAUCCGUUUGCUACACGAGAAUGUGAAGUAUCAGCGAGUCCCUUGUUAUAUGGGAUCCGUGUUCACAGAGCAGUUAGUAGGAGAUGCAACAGAUGUCGCAAGCUCCUGUCGGCCUGACAAGGAUGUCUGCAUUAGGUGGCAGCACCGCUCAAGGCCCUAAUACCGAAUAAAUAUAAAGCACAUACUGAACACAUAGGGUGCUGAACAAAGAACAUUUUCCAUAUGGUGAAACUGAAGAUGAAUUUCUUAUGGGUGUUCCUUAAAUUAAUAUAUUUUUCAGCUGUGAAAAUCGCAUUUUAUCGUGAGAAUCAUACGGAACACAAAAAAUCAUAAUUUUAAUAUUAAAGGAUGUG